rnacentral:lncRNA from 1 species
GCAUUAGGGUUUUAAACCCUAAACUGAACUUUUUCCAUUCAGUCAGCAUUAGGGUUUUAAACCUUAAACUAAAGUUUUUCCAUUCAGUCAGCAUUAGGGUUUUAAACCCUAAACUAAACUUUUUUCCAUUCAGUCAGCAUUAGGGUUUAAACCCUAAACUGAACUUUUUUCCAUUCAGUCAGCAUUAGGGUUUUAAACCCUAAACUAAACUCUUUCCAUUCAGUCAGUAUUUGGGUUUUAAACCCUAAACUGAACUUUUCCAUUCAGUCAGUAUUAGGGCCCCAACCCUAAACUGAACUUUUCCCCAGUUAGUCAGUAUUAGGGUUUCAACUCUAAACUGAACUUCUCCCCAGCUAGUCAGUAUUAGGGCUCCAACCCUGAACUGAGCAUUUUUACCUUAUGGCAAUAUUAGGGAUCCAAUCCUGAAGUUGCAUUUUGUGGUCCAAUCCCUUUAUUAGCUUUGUAAACUUCCCGGCAACUAACCCACAAAAUUUUCCUAGUAGAACUAGGGCAGAAAAUUUCGUUCGUUUGUUUUUCCCCGCAGGUCUGACCUCGAGACACAUGGAUGGAGAUGACCCACAAGAUGAGUCUCAACUCAGAAUAAAAGAAGAAAAAGACAAAAAGAAGAUGUGUCGAGAUAUUCGGAAAGGCGAAGGGCAGAUCGUUCAAAGGUUGAUCAAGGUUCCGAAUUCUACCAACCCCGUCUUACUCAGUGUCGCAGAAAUAAAUAGGCACCUACAACUUGCAAGCAUCAAGAUUCAGAUCGGAGUCUACAAGCAGAAUCAGCUAAGACCCAAGAUCAAGUCGCCAAAGGAUCAUUGAUAAGAAUCUUGUAACUAGCGGUUGACAUGCAUACGUAGUUAGUACAGUUUCAAUUUUCCUUUAUUUGUAAUAAGGGAGUCGGUAAGCAGAAACAGCAGCGGCAACAACAGUAACGACAAGAAUUGCAGUCCCAUGGUAGUCCCAGCAUUAGGGUUUUAAACCCUAAACUGAACUUUUUUCCAUUCAGUCAGCAUUAGGGUUUUAAACCCUAAACUGAAGUUUUCCAUUCAGUCAGCAUUAGGGUUUUAAACCCUAAACUGAUGUUUUUCCAUUCAGUCAGCAUUAGGGUUUUAAACCCUAA